rnacentral:tRNA from 15 species
GCGGGUGUAGCUCAAUGGUAGAGCAUCAGCUUCCCAAGCUGAGGGUUGCGAGUUCGAUCCUCGUCACCCGCUCCA